UUUUGACCGGGGGAAUAAAAGGCGAUUACUGAUUACUACCUCAUCCUGCCCCUCUUGAUUAGGGUUUGAAUGCUCACAGCCAGCCAAAACCGUGACAGUGAAAAGGCCAUAUAUGCUUUCCCAAUGGCUCAGUUUAAUAAUCAACUCAAGUAAGCAGGAGGGAUUAGUUUACUGACCGGGGCUGAUGCGCCAGAGAUACUCUAAUGCAUUCAUCCAUGCAUGCAGGCAGGCCCUCGGUGCUUUUGGAGGCGAAAGAGACAGACAAAUGGUUGAGAUACCUGCUUCUGCUUAGCUACAAAAUAAAUACUCUGCUUGGUACAAAAUAAAUACUCAUGUCAAUGUUCAGUUGAGCCGUUACCUGUUUUUUCUUUGAUGCGUUGUGUCAGGUGAAUAUAUGAAGAAAGUCAAAAGAUAGAUCCACGUAUGGAGUAUUUCAUUUUUCUAGAACUAGGAUGAAAAAUAAAAAACACUGGUUCCCGAUUCAUCCACGUAUAUCUUAUGUCAGCUCUACCUUGAAAAAGGAAAGGCAGAAGAGAUAUAGUUAUGCAUAGCAAUAUUAUA